GGCGUCGAGCGGCGGACGGGUGAGUAAUGCCUAGGAAAUUGCCCUGAUGUGGGGGAUAACCAUUGGAAACGAUGGCUAAUACCGCAUGAUGCCUACGGGCCAAAGAGGGGGACCUUCGGGCCUCUCGCGUCAGGAUAUGCCUAGGUGGGAUUAGCUAGUUGGUGAGGUAAGGGCUCACCAAGGCGACGAUCCCUAGCUGGUCUGAGAGGAUGAUCAGCCACACUGGAACUGAGACACGGUCCAGACUCCUACGGGAGGCAGCAGUGGGGAAUAUUGCACAAUGGGCGCAAGCCUGAUGCAGCCAUGCCGCGUGUGUGAAGAAGGCCUUCGGGUUGUAAAGCACUUUCAGUCGUGAGGAAGGUAGUGUAGUUAAUAGCUGCAUUAUUUGACGUUAGCGACAGAAGAAGCACCGGCUAACUCCGUGCCAGCAGCCGCGGUAAUACGGAGGGUGCGAGCGUUAAUCGGAAUUACUGGGCGUAAAGCGCAUGCAGGUGGUUUGUUAAGUCAGAUGUGAAAGCCCGGGGCUCAACCUCGGAAUAGCAUUUGAAACUGGCAGACUAGAGUACUGUAGAGGGGGGUAGAAUUUCAGGUGUAGCGGUGAAAUGCGUAGAGAUCUGAAGGAAUACCGGUGGCGAAGGCGGCCCCCUGGACAGAUACUGACACUCAGAUGCGAAAGCGUGGGGAGCAAACAGGAUUAGAUACCCUGGUAGUCCACGCCGUAAACGAUGUCUACUUGGAGGUUGUGGCCUUGAGCCGUGGCUUUCGGAGCUAACGCGUUAAGUAGACCGCCUGGGGAGUACGGUCGCAAGAUUAAAACUCAAAUGAAUUGACGGGGGCCCGCACAAGCGGUGGAGCAUGUGGUUUAAUUCGAUGCAACGCGAAGAACCUUACCUACUCUUGACAUCCAGAGAACUUUCCAGAGAUGGAUUGGUGCCUUCGGGAACUCUGAGACAGGUGCUGCAUGGCUGUCGUCAGCUCGUGUUGUGAAAUGUUGGGUUAAGUCCCGCAACGAGCGCAACCCUUAUCCUUGUUUGCCAGCGAGUAAUGUCGGGAACUCCAGGGAGACUGCCGGUGAUAAACCGGAGGAAGGUGGGGACGACGUCAAGUCAUCAUGGCCCUUACGAGUAGGGCUACACACGUGCUACAAUGGCGCAUACAGAGGGCGGCCAACUUGCGAAAGUGAGCGAAUCCCAAAAAGUGCGUCGUAGUCCGGAUUGGAGUCUGCAACUCGACUCCAUGAAGUCGGAAUCGCUAGUAAUCGUGGAUCAGAAUGCCACGGUGAAUACGUUCCCGGGCCUUGUACACACCGCCCGUCACACCAUGGGAGUGGGCUGCAAAAGAAGUAGGUAGUUUAACCUUCGGGGGGACGCUUACCACUUUGUGGUUCAUGACUGGGGUGAAGUCGUAACAAGGUAGCGCUAGGGGAACCUGGCGCUGGAUCACCUCCUUA
rnacentral:rRNA from 1 species